rnacentral:rRNA from 1 species
GUGAGGAAUAUUGCGCAAUGGAGGCAACUCUGACGCAGCCAUGCCGCGUGCAGGAAGAAGGCGCUACGCGUUGUAAACUGCUUUUAACCGGGAAGAAACCCCAGGACGUGUCCUGGGUUGACGGUACCGGAGGAAUAAGCACCGGCUAACUUCGUGCCAGCAGCCGCGGUAAUACGAAGGGUGCAAGCGUUAUCCGGAUUCAUUGGGUUUAAAGGGUGCGUAGGCGGAGCGUUAAGUCAGUGGUGAAAUCCUGCAGCUUAACUGUAGACUUGCCAUUGAUACUGGCGCUCUUGAGUGCGCUUGAAGUGGGCGGAAUGUGCCGUUUAGCGGUAAAAUGCUUAGAUAUGGCACAGAACACCAAUUGCGAAGGCAGCUCACUAAGGCGAUACUGACGCUGAGGCACGAAAGCGUGGGGAUCGAACAGGAUUAGAAACCCUAGUAGUCC